rnacentral:tRNA from 1 species
UGCCCGCUAGCACAAUUGGCAGUUGCGCUGCGCUCUGAACGCAGAGGUUCCAGGUUCGACUCCCUGGGUGGGCAGC